rnacentral:lncRNA from 1 species
UCUCCGAAAAGGUGGAGAGUAAGAAGCCUAAGAAGGUGUUGGCAGAGGUCCCACCAAAAAAGAAAGCUGAAACAAGUUCAGAGGAUGGGACUUCAUCUGAAUCUGAAGAGGAGGUAUGUAAUUACUGCACUUUGAGCCGGUCAUGCAAAAGGUUGCAAGUAACUUAGCAAGCAUUGUUCAUGCAAUAAGAAAUCGUUGGGUAGUGUCGGGUGGUUUUCCUUUAGUUAGGAAUUUGCUAGUUUUGACUGUGUUUUUCUAUCAACAUGUUGUAACUUAUUUGUAACUUGAUUUUGCUGGAUGCAAUAAUUUCUCGAUUUCGUUACAUGAGAUAUCUGAUGUUAUAGGUUAAAGUUCCUACAAAGAAGCAAAGUAAACAAGCAAAGGCACCUGCAAAGGCUCAAUUGAAAAAGAAACCUGAAACAAGCAGUUCAGAGGAUGAGUCUUCGUCCGAAUCUGAAGAGGAGGUGUGUAAUGACUGUACCAUGAGCCUUUCAUGCAAUAGGUUUGAAGUAACUUAGCAAAUUAUGUUAAUGCGAUAGGAAAUGGUUGUGUAGUUUCUGGUGGUUUUCCUUUAAUUGUUAGAAAAUUUACUAGUUUUUACUAUGUUCUUUCUAAAUCAACAUGUUAUAACUUUUUUUGUAAUUUGAUUUUGCUGGAAGCAAUAAUAUCUGAAAUUUCUUACAUGAGAUGGCUGACAUUGUAGGUUAAAGUUCCUCCAAA